rnacentral:lncRNA from 1 species
CUAUAUUAAGUUUGAUUUGAAAGAAUGGUCAAAGAAAUAUUUACUCAAGUAGGGACAAAAAAAACAAAGAUAAUUGAUUGCAAAUAUUAAUAGAUUUAAAAUGACUUGAAGUAUUGAAUAGUUGAGUGUUAAAAUAAUAAAAAAUAAUUGAUAUUUAGAAGAUUUUAAGUAGAAAAAUUAACAAAUAAUGUAAUAUAGUAGAGUGGUAAU